UACGUAUGGUGCGAACGUUGUUCGGAAUCACUGGGCGUAAAGAGCACGUAGGCGGUUAAGUAAGUCCAUUGUGAAAUCCCCCGGCCUAACCGGGGAACUGCAUUGGAUACUACUUGACUUGAGUGCAGGAGGGGAGAGUGGAAUUCCAGGUGGAGCGGUGAAAUGCGUAGAUAUCUGGAGGAACGCCGGCGGCGAAAGCGACUCUCUGGUCUGUAACUGACGCUGAGGUGCGAAAGCUAGGGGAGCAAACGGG
rnacentral:rRNA from 1 species